ensembl:lincRNA
GUGCAUUGGUGGAUGGACGGUGUUCCUGUGGAUGUGAACAGUGGACAUGGCCACUUCCAGGGGCCCUUUGGCUCCCCAGAUUUUCCUGGAAGCUCUGCUACGGGGUGUUGUCUAUGCAGCCAUGGCAAUCACACUACUUUUUCUCUGCCUCCUCCCCUUCAUAGUGAAACUUCUCAGGACAAAGCAGGCAAAGAAGUGUGCACAGAUGAGAGAACAGAAGAACUCUGUGGCUGAAACAGACCAGGGAUCCCAUUUGAAGUCCAGGGAGCCUAGGAAAUCCAGAACUAAGCUACCCUCUGAGGAGCAGCUCUAGCAAAAAGAAGAUAACCCGAAGCCAAGGAAGACCAUGGAAACUGCAUCAUGUACAAAGUUCCCAUCACCCUGGGAAUUACAAAAACCCAUGGAGACUCCAGAACCCCCAAGUUCAUAAUAAACUUGAGGUCCUGCAGAUCUGA